rnacentral:rRNA from 1 species
AACGAACGCUGGCGGCAUGCCUAACACAUGCAAGUCGAACGAGACCUUCGGGUCUAGUGGCGCACGGGUGCGUAACGCGUGGGAACCUGCCCUUAGGUUCGGAAUAACUCCCCGAAAGGGGUGCUAAUACCGGAUAAUGUCUUCGGACCAAAGAUUUAUCGCCUUUGGAUGGGCCCGCGUUGGAUUAGCUAGUUGGUAGGGUAAAAGCCUACCAAGGCGACGAUCCAUAGCUGGUCUGAGAGGAUGAUCAGCCACACUGGGACUGAGACACGGCCCAGACCCCACCGGGAGGCAGCAUGGGGGAAAAUGGAAAAAGGGGCGAAAGCCGGACCCCGCAAGGCCGGGAGAGUGAGAAAGCCUUUAGGGUUGAAAACCUCUUUUACCCGGGAGAAUAAAAAAAGACCCGGAAAAAAAACCCCCGCCAACCCCCGU